UUAAAGUUAGUGAGUGUUUUUCAGGGUGAAGUUUCAGUGUGUAAAUAUGAUGUAACACACACACUCUUACACAC